GCCCAGGUGGCGAAACUGGCAGACGCGCUAUCUUGAGGGGGUAGUGCCCGAGAGGGCGUGUGGGUUCGAGUCCCACCCUGGGCA
rnacentral:tRNA from 1 species